GACGAACGCUGGCGGCGUGCUUAACACAUGCAAGUCGAACGGAAAGGCCCUGCUUUUGUGGGGUGCUCGAGUGGCGAACGGGUGAGUAACACGUGAGUAACCUGCCCUUGACUUUGGGUAAAUUUCGGGAACUGGGGGUUAUUACGGGAAGGAGCUUCUGGCGCCAGGGGGGGGGUGGGAAAGUUCGGCGGUUGGGGAUGGACUCGCGGCUUAUCAGCUUGUUGGUGGGGUAGUGGCUUACCAAGGCUUUGACGGGUAGCCGGCCUGAGAGGGUGACCGGCCACAUUGGGACUGAGAUACGGCCCAGACUCCUACGGGAGGCAGCAGUGGGGAAUAUUGCACAAUGGGCGGAAGCCUGAUGCAGCAACGCCGCGUGCGGGAUGACGGCCUUCGGGUUGUAAACCGCUUUCGCCUGUGACGAAGCGUGAGUGACGGUAAUGGGUAAAGAAGCACCGGCUAACUACGUG
rnacentral:rRNA from 1 species